rnacentral:rRNA from 1 species
GACGAACGCUGGCGGCGUGCCUAAUACAUGCAAGUAGAACGCUGAAGAGAGGAGCUUGCUCUUCUUGGAUGAGUUGCGAACGGGUGAGUAACGCGUAGGUAACCUGCCUUGUAGCGGGGGAUAACUAUUGGAAACGAUAGCUAAUACCGCAUAACAAUGGAUGACACAUGUCAUUUAUUUGAAAGGGGCAAUUGCUCCACUACAAGAUGGACCUGCGUUGUAUUAGCUAGUAGGUGAGGUAACGGCUCACCUAGGCGACGAUACAUAGCCGACCUGAGAGGGUGAUCGGCCACCCUGGGACUGAGACACGGCCCAGAAUCCUACGGGAGGCAGCAGUAGGGAAUCUUCGGCAAUGGGGGCAACCCUGACCGAGCAACGCCGCGUGAGUGAAGAAGGUUUUCGGAUCGUAAAGCUCUGUUGUAAGUCAAGAACGAGUGUGAGAGUGGAAAGUUCACACUGUGACGGUAGCUUACCAGAAAGGGACGGCUAACUACGUG